rnacentral:misc_RNA from 1 species
UCUCCGUUGGUGAACCAGUGGAGGGAUCAUUAUCGAGUUUAUAACUCCCAAACCCUAUGUGAACUUACCACUUGUUGCUUCGGCGCGCGCUUCGGCGCCGCCGAGGACACUUAAACUCUUUGUUUUUAUAAGCAUUUCUGAGUGGCCGAAAGGCAAAAUACAAAUGAAUCAAAACUUUCAGCAACGGAUCUCUUGGUUCUGACAUCGAUGAAGAACGCAGC